rnacentral:rRNA from 1 species
GAUGAACGUUGGCGGCGUGCUUAACACAUGCAAGUCGAACGGAAAGGCCCAAGCUUGCUUGGGUACUCGAGUGGCGAACGGGUGAGUAACACGUGGGUGAUCUGCCCUGCACUUCGGGAUAAGCCUGGGAAACUGGGUCUAAUACCGGAUAGGACCACAUUUUGGAUGGUGUGGUGGAAAGUUUUUCGGUGUGGGAUGAGCUCGCGGCCUAUCAGCUUGUUGGUGGGGUAAUGGCCUACCAAGGCGUCGACGGGUAGCCGGCCUGAGAGGGUGUACGGCCACAUUGGGACUGAGAUACGGCCCAGACUCCUACGGGAGGCAGCAGUGGGGAAUAUUGCACAAUGGGCGCAAGCCUGAUGCAGCGACGCCGCGUGGGGGAUGACGGCCUUCGGGUUGUAAACUCCUUUCGCUAGGGACGAAGCGUUAUGUGACGGUACCUGGAGAAGAAGCACCGGCUAACUACGUG